rnacentral:rRNA from 1 species
CGUAGGGGGCGAGCGUUAUCCGGAUUCAUUGGGCGUAAAGCGCGCGUAGGCGGCCCGGCAGGCAGGGGGUCAAAUGGCGGGGGCUCAACCCCGUCCCGCCCCCUGAACCGCCGGGGCUCGGGUCCGGUAGGGGAGGGUGGAACACCCGGUGUAGCGGUGGAAUGCGCAGAUAUCGGGUGGAACACCGGUGGCGAAGGCGGCCCUCUGGGCCGAGACCGACGCUGAGGCGCGAAAGCUGGGGGAGCGAACAGGAUU